GCAGGCUUGGCAAAUUUACCGGCUGGCUUGCCAGGAAAUGAACUUUUAAGGGCGCCUCAGCACAACCACCAUAAUAACAAUCACUGCCAGUCCCAUGAGAGAUGCUCCUAUGGUCUUUUCGAUGGUAGCUGCUCCAGCAAUUUCAUUGGCAGCAGGAGUGUGCUCUGCAGAUGAAAAGCUAAAAAUCUUUUGGAAGUAAGCAGAUACGUUGGUCACCAAGUCAACCACAGUAAGCUUGACGUUAUUGAUAAUAUCCACGAGUUCAGUUUGAGAGCUUCC
rnacentral:lncRNA from 1 species